rnacentral:lncRNA from 1 species
AGUUAAACAGCCAGGAGAGGAGUUUCUGUCUGGUUCCUCUGGGGUGGACCUAGAGAGCCAGAUAUUUUCUAUCCUGUGGCUUUCAUUGUGAUUCAGCCCAUCCCUGUGGAUCCUGCUGCUGCUGCUGAGAGUGAUUUCCAACAGAGCUACUCAAAACUCCAGAGGACAACUGAUCCCCCUUUUAAAGAAAAAAAUCUGGAGGAGGGAUGGGGGAAAUCACACUCUCAUCUCAUGGCUGCAGAAGUAUAUUUUCUUCUGAAGUAGAGAAAGAAUUUCCAAAAGGAAAGGUAAGUCCCUAAGGAUGUAUUCAUUCUACUUUCUCAUUCAUUUUUCUCUCUUAUUAGUUA